rnacentral:tRNA from 1 species
GGAGUGGGUCAUGGCAUAGUGGUAGAGCAUCUGCUUUGCAUGCAGAAGGUCCCAGGUUCAAUCUCUGGCAACUCCA